CGAUGGGGUAAGGAUAUUAACGUUAACACUGACAGCAGGUAUGCCUUUGCUACUGUGCAUGUACGUGGAGCCAUCUACCAGGAGCGUGGGCUACUCACCUCAGCAGGUGGCUGUAAUCCACUGUAAAGGACAUCAAAAGGAAAACACGGCCGUUGCCCGUGGUAACCAGAAAGCUGAUUCAGCAGCUCAAGAUGCAGUGUGACUUUCAGUCACGCCUCAAAACUUGCUGCCCACAGUCUCCUUUCCACAGCCAGAUCUGCCUGACAAUCCCGCAUACUCAACAGAAGAAGAAAACUGGCCUCAGAUCUCAGAGCCAAUAAAAAUCAGGAAGGUUGGUGGAUUCUUCCUGACUCUAGAAUCUUCAUACCCCGAACUCUUGGGAAAACUUUAAUCAGUCACCUACAGUCUACCACCCAUUUAGGAGGAGCAAAGCUACCUCAGCUCCUCCGGAGCUGUUUUAAGAUCCCCCAUCUUCAAAGCCUAACAGAUCAAGCAGCUCUCCGGUGCACAACCUGCGCCCAGUCUCCCCAACAGGUACAAGAUAUCAUCCUGCCACUUGUUCGAGGAACCCAUCCGAAUCCAAUUCCUGACCAGACAGGGUCCUGCCAUUCGUUCCAGCCAGGAGACCUAGUGUUUGUUAAAAAGUUCAGAGAGAAGGACUCCCUCCUGCUUGGAAGAGACCUCACACCGUCAUCACGAUGCCAACGGCUCUGAAGGUGGAUGGCAUUCCUGCUUGGAUUCAUCACUCCCGCAUCAAAAAGGCCAACAGAGCCCAACUGGAAACAUGGGUCCCCAGGGCUGGGUCAGGCCCCUUAAAACUGCACCUAAGUUGGGUGAAGCCAUUAGAUUAAUUAUUUUUCUUAAUUUUGUAAAACAAUGCAUAGCUUCUGUCAAACUUAUGUAUCUUAAGACUCAAUAUAACCCCCUUGUUAUAACCGAGGAAUCAAUGAUUUGAUUCCCCAAAAACACAAGUGGGGAAUGUAGUGUCCAACCUGGUUUUUACUAACCCUGUUUUUAGACUCUCCCUUUUCCUUUAAUCACCUAGCCUUGUUUCCACCUGAAUUGACUCUCCCUUAGCUAAGAGUGCCAGAUGGACUCCAUCUUGGCUCUUUCACUGGCAGCCCCUUCCUCAAGGACUUAACUUGUGCAAGCUGACUCCCAGCACAUCCAAGAAUGCAAUUAACUGAUAAGAUACUGUGGCAAGCUAUAUCCGCAAUUCCCAGGAAUUCGUCUGAUUGAUAACGCCCAAAGCCCCCGGUCUAUCACCUUGUAAUAGUCUUAAAGCCCCUGCACCUGGAACUAUUAACUUUCCUGUAACCAUUUAUCCUUUUAACUUUUUUGCUUACUUUAUUUCUGUAAAAUUGUUUUAACUAGACCCCCCCUCUCCUUUCUAAACCAAAGUAUAAAAGCAAAUCUAGCCCCUUCUUCAGGGCUGAGAGCAUUUUGAGCAUUAGCCGUCUCUUGGCCACCGGCUAAAUAAAC
rnacentral:lncRNA from 1 species